rnacentral:rRNA from 1 species
GACGAACCGUGCGAACGUUGUUCGGAAUCACUGGGCUUAAAGGGCGCGUAGGCGGGCCUCCAAGUCCGGGGUGAAAGCCUCCCGCCUAACGGGAGAAGCGCCUCGGAGACUGGGGGCCUCGAGGGGGGUAGGGGCAAGCGGAACUAUGGGUGGAGCGGUGAAAUGCGUAGAUAUCGGAAGGAACAUCAGUGGCGAAAGCGGCUUCCUGGACCAGUACCGACGUUCAGGCACGAAAGCGUGGGGAGCAAACAGG